UUUAACACCGAAAUUGAAAACUGUUCCUCACCCUAAAUUGAAAACGUUGUUCACGCUGAAAUCGAAAAUCGUUCUUCACCCCGAAAUCGAAAUCGUUCUUCACGUCGAAAUCGAGAAUCGUUCUUCUCCCUCAAAUUGAAAAUGCUCAAUCGUUCACAUAAUUCGUUCAAUCACUGUGAGAUUCCUUUUUCAACCAAAAACUGAUCUGAGUUUCAUAUCUUCAAGUUCAGGUACAUUUAUAAUCUUUUCUAGCAAGGUUUCACAGAAAGCAGGACAAAUAACAACUCACUCCAUAAGUUACCUCCAAAGGAUAAAGCUUUUCUAAAAUACUUUGUAGCAGCAGUACCCACAAUUAAUAACUUACCUACUUCUUUACAGGUUAAAUUCACUAAGACUGGAGUAUGUCAUGGGUUUGUGUUGUGGAUUGACUGGGUGAUGGAUUCGCAGAGUUCUGUUGUAAUAUCAACCGGUCCAGGAUUUGAUGCAUAUCCUACGUUUUCAGAGAUACCUGAGACCAACUUGUCCGGAAUGGAAUGUGGACUACCUAUUCAAUUAUCUUUCUCAGCUCGUGAAAUAGCAGAUGGCUCUUUUUUCAAGGCAAUUGAAGAUUAUGACCCAGCCAUCAAGAGGCUCUUGUACCAGCUAGAGAAGUGGGUGUUAUCUCAAUAAGUGUUCAUUAGAAUAUAAGUUGAUCAUACAUUUUGAUCACUCUACAUAAGGUGCCAAAAAUUGAGACUUCAGAAACUUUAUCUUUUCUUAAACUAAAUGCAAAGUAUGUGCAUCCAGCUGCCAUGGAGUUGCUUCUUUUUUAUUUUUUUAUUUUAAGAAUCUUAACAGCUCAAAGACUAAACAUACGAAAAAAUUGUUUGAUUGAACAUAUAAUCUUACUGCUACACAAUUUUAUGGCAGUAAUUCAAAGACAAAGGUACAUUAGCAUUAUUUCUAAAAAGUUCCAUUUAAAUUAAUUUUGAUAUUAGUAUGGAUGUUUACGAACACUUAAUCAGUCGAGGUUUUCUAAAAGGUUACAUUCGUUGGAUCUUUUAUGGUGAGAAAGUUAGCAGUUCAAAUCCUGCAAGUGCAUCUGAAGUACAACACGAGUUCAUGGCAAGGCAAAGCAUGUGACCUAUUUCAAAAUGCUGACAUGCAACCCCACUUCAUACAACCUUUGCUUUAUGCUGGAAUCAAGGAAACGAGUUUUUCAAUCCAGCAAGUAUCUCAAAGUUGCUGCACUCUACACUCAAGCUAUCAAAUAGACCCUUCAAAUCCCACUCUUUUAAGGGCUCAAUCUCUCUAAGAAACGUGUUGAAGCUCUUUUGGAUAUGAGUUUACGAAGACUGACCGUUUCCCGUGGGUUUACACUAAAUAAAGCUGGUGCUUCUGGUACUUCGAGUGGACCGUUUCCCGUGGGUUUACACUAAAUAAAGCUGGUGCUUCUGGUGCUUAUGUUGAAUCCUCUUGAAUAUUUUACUUGGUCAUUGAUUAGAUUCAUACAAAAUAGUGGUCUUUCUAGUUAUACUUAAUCAGCCAGAAAAUAAGAAAAUGGAGUUGAAAUUCUUUGUUACUAUAUUGUAAUAUUUGAAUUUAAUUGAAAUUGAUAUAAUAGUUUAAUUUUAAUAUUAAGUUAAUUUGUCAUAUUUAAAUUGAAAUAAUAGAAAAUGU